rnacentral:rRNA from 1 species
UACGGAGGGUGCAAACGUUGCUCGGAAUCACUGGGCGUAAAGCGCACGUAGGCGGCUCGAAAAGUCGGAUGUGAAAGCCCUGGGCUCAACCUAGGAAGUGCAUUCAAAACUGCCGAGCUUGAGUACGGGAGAGGGUUGCGGAAUUCCCGGUGUAGAGGUGAAAUUCGUAGAUAUCGGGAGGAACACCAGUGGCGAAGGCGGCAGCCUGGACCGAUACUGACGCUGAGGUGCGAAAGCGUGGGGAGCAAACAGG